CUCUGGUAUUGAUUGGUGCUUGCAUCAUGAUUUACAUUUGAGUGAGUGGCGAACUGGUGAGUAACACGUGGGAAACCUGCCCAGAAGCGGGGGAUAACACCUGGAAACAGAUGCUAAUACCGCAUAACAACUUGGACCGCAUGGUCCGAGCUUGAAAGAUGGCUUCGGCUAUCACUUUUGGAUGGUCCCGCGGCGUAUUAGCUAGAUGGUGGGGUAACGGCUCACCAUGGCAAUGAUACGUAGCCGACCUGAGAGGGUAAUCGGCCACAUUGGGACUGAGACACGGCCCAAACUCCUACGGGAGGCAGCAGUAGGGAAUCUUCCACAAUGGACGAAAGUCUGAUGGAGCAACGCCGCGUGAGUGAAGAAGGGUUUCGGCUCGUAAAACUCUGUUGUUAAAGAAGAACAUAUCUGAGAGUAACUGUUCAGGUAUUGACGGUAUUUAACCAGAAAGCCACGGCUAACUACGUGCCAGCAGCCGCGGUAAUACGUAGGUGGCAAGCGUUGUCCGGAUUUAUUGGGCGUAAAGCGAGCGCAG
rnacentral:rRNA from 1 species